rnacentral:rRNA from 1 species
UCAGGACGAACGCUGGCGGCGUGCCUAAUACAUGCAAGUCGAACGGUCUUUCUAUGGAAGCUUGCUCCACUGAGAAGAUAGUGGCGAACGGGUGAGUAACACGUGGGGUAACCUGCCCAUAAGAGGGGGGAUAACAUCCGGAAACGGGUGCUAAUACCGCAUAGUUUUCUUGAUCGCAUGAUCGGGAAAGGAAAGACGGCCUUUGUGCUGUCGCUUAUGGAUGGACCCGCGGCGUAUUAGUUAGUUGGUGAGGUAACGGCUCACCAAGACGAUGAUACGUAGCCGACCUGAGAGGGUGAUCGGCCACAUUGGGACUGAGACACGGCCCAAACUCCUACGGGAGGCAGCAGUAGGGAAUCUUCCGCAAUGGACGAAAGUCUGACGGAGCAACGCCGCGUGAGUGAAGAAAAGGUUUUCGGAUCGUAAAACUCUGUUGUCAGAGAAGAACAAGUUGGAGAGUAACUGCUCCAGCCUUGACGGUAUCUGACCAGAAAGCCACGGCUAACUACGUGCCAGCAGCGGC